rnacentral:rRNA from 1 species
AUUGAACGCUAGCGGGAUGCUUUACACAUGCAAGUCGAACGGAGUGGCGGACGGGUGAGAUGUAUAUCGGAACGUGCCCAAUAGCGGGGGAUAAAUACUCGAAAGAGUGUAUAAUACCGCAUUCUCUUAUAACCGCCGAUAUGGGUUUCGCGAGUUGGUGGGGUAAAGGCUCACCAAGGCAACGCUCCGUAGCUGGUUUGAGAGGACGAACAGCCACACUGGGACUGAGACACGGCCCAGACUCCUACGGGAGGCAGCAGUGGGGAAUUUUGGACAAUGGGGGAAACCCUGAUCCAGCCAUCCCGCGUGUAUGAUGAAGGCCUUCGGGUUGUAAAGUACUUUUGGCAGAGAAGCGGUAUCUGCAGAAUAAGCACCGGCUAACUACGUGCCAGCAGCCGCGGUAAUUC